CCAGUCAAGAGUCAAUACGAAAAGAAGAAAAUGGCUAUAAACACACAGUCUCUAUCUCUCUGUCGUCUACACAAUACAAAUCAUGCCCUAACUCUAUUCAGUCCAUCUCUAAGAAGAUUGGAAAAUUAUCUGCAGGUCUCUUGAAGAGCAUCAUCCUCAACAAACCAAGACGAUGGCUAAGAAAAAGGUGGUGGUCAAGGUGUACAACAUGAACGGUAGGAAGCUGAAGUGCUGGCUCUGCCCGAAAUUUGGAGCGCGAGAUAAUCGCUCGGAGGCUCUUAAAAUUGCAGCCACUGUCCCAGGGUUCUCAUCGUUGAGUUUGAAAGGAACGGACCGAGAUGUGAUUGAAGUAACGGGG